rnacentral:rRNA from 1 species
CGGAUUGCAGCCUGCAACUCGGCUGCAUGAAGCUGGAAUCGCUAGUAAUCGCAGAUCAGAAUGCUGCGGUGAAUACGUUCCCGGGUCUUGUACACACCGCCCGUCACACCAUGGGAGUUGGAAAUGCCCGAAGUCAGUGACCGAACCGAAAGGAAGGAGCUGCCGAAGGUGGAGCCGAUGACUGGGGUGAAGUCGUAACAAGGUAUC